AAUGGUAGUACUGACGAAGCUAGUGCUUUUGGAGGAGGUGGUUAGGAUGCUUUUACAGAUUAGUUUAUGAUGAACGAUAUAAGAAGUUWAAGACAAAAUUAAUGGCAUAGCAGGGAGAUCCCUGGUCACAACCUGRUUAACAAAGGACGAUGGAGGCUAAAUAAAUCCGGAAGAACCCAUAAUCUUCAUUUGAUGGAUUGAACGGAGAGAUUAAGCGAGAAAGCGCAGUUCCAGGCAUCCUUCCUAAAGCAGCAGAAGUGGAUUCAUGCUGGAUGCUCUAAAGUCUUAAUUUUWUAAAUAUCUUUUAUCAACAACAAAAGAAGAAUCACAAGUGGAGCGAGGAUGUCUGAAAUGAUGAAGCUUGAAGCAAAUGAAGCUCGAGGAUUCAGCUUGGAACCUCCUGCAGCAUCCACAUCAAAACUAGAGGAGGAAACACAAGACAACAAAGAUCUCAUGUUACUUGAAGACGAUCAGCAGCAAAUUGUAAUCAAAGAAGAGGUUUCCUGGAACACUAAUUUGGACCAAUGCAGUUCAGAGCUGACUCAGAUAAAAGAGGAAAACGAGGAACUCAGGAUCAGUCAGGGGGAGAAGCAGCUUAAUGAGGGACUGGAGACGGAUACCAAUGAAUUCCCCCUUAUGGUGGUUACUGUGAAAAGUGAAGGUGAAGAAGAAAAAGCUCAGUUCUCAGAACGUCCUCAGGUCAAAACUGAAGAGAGCAGAGAACCAGAACUUCCCACCAGAAGAUCAGUCGAACAGAUAAAAACAGAAAGUGAUGAAGAGGACUGUGAGGGACCAGAACUCUCAACAGAUCCAGAUCAACCUGGUCGUGUGCAGCCAAAGACGGAUGAGAAGGCUUUAGACUCAUCCAACUCUACUAAAACCGAAGCCAGUGAUGAUGAGUACUGGCAGAAAUCUUCUGAUUCUGAACUUGAAACUGAAGAUGGAAACUAUAACCCAUGUGCACCAGUGUCAGGGGGAAAAUAUGGUGCAGGAGGGAACUCUGUGAAAAUCACCUUCAGCUGUUCUGUGUGUAAUAAGCAGUUUGAUUCAAAGUUCAAUCUCAAAACACAUUUACGAGUGCAUACAGGGGAGAAACCGUAUGGCUGUGACGACUGUGGGAAGCGAUUUACCCAGAAUGCAAAUCUCCUGCGGCACAGGCUGGUGCACACAGGCGAGAAGCCGUUUGUCUGCGAUAUUUGUGGUAAAAGAUUUAGCCAGAGUUCAGCACUCAAAACACACAUGACUGUCCACACAGGAGAGAGGCGACUUAGCUGCUACAUUUGUGGUAAAAGACUCGCAACAACCUCAAAUCUUAGAGCACAUCUGAGUGUCCAUACCGGAGAGAAACCAUUCAGCUGUGACGUCUGCGGAAAAAGAUUUAACAAAAGAGCAAAUCUCCGGGCACAUAUAACACUCCACACAGGAAAGAAACCAUUUAGCUGUCAUAUUUGUGAUAAAAGAUUCACUCAAAGCUCUAUUCUUAGGAGACACAUGGACGUCCACACAGGGGAAAGACCAUACAAUUGUGAAGUGUGUGGUCAAAGAUUUACUACAACCGAAAAUCUUGAGGAGCAUAUGAACACUCACAUCAAACCAACUGACUGUGAAGUUUGUGGUAAAAUCUUUACCAAAUCUGCAAAUCUUCUGGCACACAUGAGCACCCACACUGGAGAGAAACCAUUUGCUUGCGAUAUUUGCGGUAAAAGAUUUACUCAGAACUCAACUCUGAGGAGGCAUACGAAUGUCCACACAGGAGAGAAGCUGUUUGGCUGCAGUGUUUGUGGCAAAAGGUUUACUCAGAACUCAACUCUCAGUCGACACAUGAGCGUCCACCCGGGGGAAAAGCAGUUUGGCUGUGAUGUUUGUGGUCAAAGAUGUGGUACGACAGCGGAGCUUAGAGCACACAUGAGUUCCCACGAAGGAGAAAAACCCUAUAGGUGCAACAAUUGUGGCAAAAGAUUUGUUCGAAUCUCAAACAUGAAGAAACACGCGUGCAUCCAGUUAGAGAAAUCAUCACGUUCAUGACCAGCAUGUUUAAAGUGUGUUGUUGGGCUUUUAUUAGAAUGUAGUCAUAUUUCUCAUCUAGCUUAAUAGCAAAAGAUCACAUUAUCAAUUUACUUCAUGUGAGAUGGAGUUCUGCAUUCAAACAGAUGAACAACCCCCCUCGCCUUCCAGGGCUCUUUACCUUUCCUUUUAUUAAAACUGACAGUACUCUGGAUUUCAGUUUUAUUUCAAUAGGUAUACAAAAAAUAUACUUGGAAACUUUUAAUGUCAUAAAAAUGCUGGACUGUAUACGGUGAAUUUGUUUCACACAGGGCAGUGUUAGACCUUUAAUUUUAAAUUUCCUAAGAAAAUGUACCUACAGUUGCAAUCUGAAAUAUUUAACCAUCUCAACUUACAGGCCUGUGACGAUUAACCAACAAGAAAUGUGUUGAUGCAUAUACAUAUAUUUCACUCAUUUGACUUGUGCAUAGUGUUGUAUAAGUUGAAUACUUGUUUUCACAUAUAGGUCAAUAAUCAGUUCACUCUACCCAACAGAGCUCACAUCCAAACAUGUUAGAUUAAUAGAAGGUGGGAAUGGGGUUGGACAAACUCACAGACUUCUAAUUAUUUGUCUUAGAGUGAUUUUUGCAUCACACAUAGAUGCCUUCCUUUGUGAGGUUUCUGUGAAAAUCACAACUGAAGUCAAUGAAGGAUCAUUAGAUGUUACUCUGUUUUCCAUUACAAAGACUCUAAGCUUUAGGUUUUCUGUGUUAAAAUGUGAAACGUCAAACCUAAUUAAAUUUACACCCAAAUGCAAUAUUGUUUAUUUCCAGUGUUAUAUUAAUGAAUCACUCAACUAAUAAAAAUGCUAUCCAAAGAAACAAUGAUAGAUCCUUCCAAUCUUUCUGGGUUUUUCUGUAUUUGUGAUUGUGAGUUUGUAGGUUCCUUGCAGGUUACCAAAAUGUUUUCUGCAGCAUUCUUCUUGUCUUGAUCACAGGAACAAUGCUUCUCUUAAUUCCUUUAAUUGCUCCUCUUCAUGCGUUCCAAGGCAUUAAUGCUGCCUUAAAUCUCCCUAAAUUCAACAAUAUUUUUCUUGAACAUCUCUAGCAAGAAAGCAUCAGAACCGUUGCUGCGGUGCACCUUAUCUUUGAGCUGACUUACUGUUGAGCUUGGAUCUGUUGGACUUGUUUCACUAUACACUCCAGUGGAGUUAAAUUAAAUUUACAUCUUGACUGAAUUAUUCCUGACCUCUCGUGUGUAUUUAAUCUAUGGAAUACCAAGCAGUUUCAUCAGUUUCUUCAGAUCAGUAGGACUCCCAUGUUUUUUCUGUGGGUUUUUAAUUUUCCCUUUCUCUUUCACUGCCAAUAAAAUGUAUCUGUCUUUUUAUUCGGUGUAUGUAUGGUUUUGACUGUAUACACAAAUAUUUGUUUGACUCGACAUCAUAGUUAAAAGAUGACACUAAAGGCCGAACAUUGAAAAGUAAAGCAAAUAGGUGUUUUCCUGCUAAAAGUCCUAGAGACGUUAAAUGAUGUAGAAGCCAUGUCUGGACCUUGCAGAAUAAAUAGAAAAAUGUCACUGGAAAGGAAGACAUCUAGAAAACCACUUCAGUCACUGGAAUGAAUGAGUCAAGACCAUAUGGUUGGACUUUAAUUUGUAAAAUAUAUUUUGUCAGAACAUGGAGGUUUUUGCUUGCAAUAAAGGCAUCUGCAAGUGGAAAUUGCUUUUUUUUUCUCUCUGCCUUAGAAAAAUGAGCUGCACAAGUACACAAAAGCUAUGCAAUGUAAAUUAACUCACUUUUAAUGGUAGACUUAGUGUUUAAUGUAAAAACCUUUCUGUGGUUUCAAGUUGUUUGUGUCACAAUUGGAGAAAAGACAUUUUUAUAAGCAUCUAUGAUCGAUCAAAUACAGGUUUGUAGAUCUUAAGUGUUUCCCAUAAACAGCACUAAUUAAACUGAGCAGAAGUCGUGGAUCUGCAGGGCUCCAGGUGAGCAUGAUCAGAAUGAUGAAAGCAGCUGAGCCCCUAAUAUAAACUCAGCUGCAGCAGCAGAGUAGUUACAACACAAAGCUUUGUCUGCUCUUUGCAGAGAGCAACAUGCCGCAGCAGUGUGUUUUUAGGAAUUCCUGGAUUUGCCUAUUGUUGUUCAGUGUUGGAGCCUGUGUUCCUGUCAGGAAAGAUCAAAGAGUCCCCCAAGCUGGCUCUACUACUAGUGGUGUUUCAGUUGAUUUUGGCUCUGGUGGUGCUGGGUCCAGUGCUGGCUUUAGGUCUGCUGUUGGUGUCUCCUCUGUUGUUGAUGCUGGUUCUGAUGUGGACUGUUCACCUGCACAGGAUGCACAUAUUUUUCAGAUGAUCGCUGACAUGCUGAGCCUGGACCCCCACAGUAGUCGUCCUCUCCUCCAGGCUCACUGGAGCGCUCCUCAGAUUCCUCAGGGAAUGGCUGCAUCCCGCCCUGUGAACCCUUCAUCCCUCAUCGUCCACACAGACGGCGACUACCAGCAAGCAAGAGACUUCCCAUCUGACUCCAAAUACACCCAGGAUACAUUUGACCACAUCCCUGUACCUGGAACCCCACAGCACCCAGGCAGUGGGUCUAAAGAGCACCAGAAGAUCUGAGAUGUAAAACCGGGAGGGGACAAAUACUUCAGUGACAGCAGUUUCCCUUCCCAAUAUGGCGGCCGUGUUGACGUUUCUCUGAUGCGCAGAGAUGGAGCAUAUCUUCUGGGAGAGAUUUUUGUGUCUACAGAAAAUUUCCCGUUAGAUUAUUAGGAUCCAAACCGUGUCAAGUAAAUGAUGAUGGAGGCUGAAUAAUCCUGGGAGGAUCAAAGUUGUGAAAGAAACAUUCAGUGGCUUUUUUUCCAAGCUGCAAUCACUGAUGGGGGAGAGAUUGUUCUACAGUAACGGAUUAUUUGACCUCCAGGAGGUUAAAUAAUGUAUUUGUUGCUAAAUACUUUUAGGCGAACCGUCGCAUUGAAUGCUUUAUGUACUGUCGCUAAAAUAUGUAAACCCUGUCGUUUAAUCGGUAAAUUAUUCUGAGUGCUUUGGUAAUUAACAGUUUUUAAUAUUUCUGUCAUCUCCACAUUACGUUUAAUUUAAAUGGAAUCUAUUAAAUUAUGGACAACCCUGA